CGUGAAAAAAUCAAAAGAAAAUUUGAAUUUAUCUAAGGAAAAAGCAUAGGGGCGGCCUCUACUCUGUCCCGUGCAUCCCAUCCCAUCCCAUCCCAUCCCAUCCCCCUCCAAUCCAACCAGCCGCCCGCUUCCCGUCAUCCGACUCCCUGCUAGUAAGUGUCAGGAGUGAGGCACCGACGAAUCAAUCAACAAAAUCCCCAUAGCAAUUGUUACUACAGGUUGAAAUAUUGAUCGCCGAUUAAUUUGCAUGAGCUCUUCGUUUGGCCGCGGAAAGGCAUCAAAUGGGUUUGGGGGUUCUGCUGACCUUUUUGUUCCAAUAAAUUGUUAUGGACAUGGUCGACAUCGUAGGAGAUGAAUGCGUACCUUCCUUUACUUUCCCUUUUCCCUUCUCUGCCUCUUAUUUAUUUUCUUUGUUCCUCUUACCUGUUGAGCACGUAUCGAUUGGAUGGAUAUAAUAAAAAACGGGAUGUCCUCGAGCUUAAUUCAAGGCGGUUGCUAUGCAAUAUCAAUUCUCUAGAAGCUUCACUUAAAAGGGGUACCGGUGGUAUUGACCUUUGUCAUGUUUCUUGAUCUUCCGUAAAAGUUGUAUAGCAGUGUUGCAAGGAAGCAUUCCGGUAACUUGUUGUGAUUUUUAUGAACUGAUUGACUGCUGUUUUAUAAUUCGGUGCUCUUUAUGUCUAAGUUUUCUUUUGCAUGGGGACAUGAAAUCGGAGAGGCUUUUGCUUGGUCAGAUCAAAAUGGCUCACGUGAAGAAGUUCUAUGGUCUUUCCAGUUCUCAAAAGGCUUCCUGGAAAACCGCAUGUUGGAUAAGGUUUGCAUAUAGAUCUCAUUCCACUUCUGUUCUGACUUAUCAGUACCUCAUUCUCUAUCUUUAAUUGACCAUGUCUUUCCGAGAAGACGACGUACUAAUCGCUCGAUUGAUAUUGAUUUAUUCCAGAUUAAAGUUA